AUUGAACGCUGGCGGCAUGCUUUACACAUGCAAGUCGAACGGCAGCGCGGGGCAACCUGGCGGCGAGUGGCGAACGGGUGAGUAAUAUAUCGGAACGUACCCAGAAGUGGGGGAUAACGUAGCGAAAGUUACGCUAAUACCGCAUACGAUCUACGGAUGAAAGUAGGGGACCGCAAGGCCUUAUGCUUUUGGAGCGGCCGAUAUCUGAUUAGCUAGUUGGUGAGGUAAAGGCUCACCAAGGCGACGAUCAGAAGCUGGUCUGAGAGGACGACCAGCCACACUGGAACUGAGACACGGUCCAGACUCCUACGGGAGGCAGCAGUGGGGAAUUUUGGACAAUGGGCGCAAGCCUGAUCCAGCAAUGCCGCGUGAGUGAAGAAGGCCUUCGGGUUGUAAAGCUCUUUUGUCAGGGAAGAAACGGUAGAGGCUAAUAUCCUUUGCUAAUGACGGUACCUGAAGAAUAAGCACCGGCUAACUACGUG
rnacentral:rRNA from 1 species